CCCGCUGGUCCCCCUCCUCUGUAGGCCUGGACCCUGCCAUGAAGCCCGCAGGUGCGGGUGAUGCCGGUGGGUGCUGCGCCCUACUGGGUCUCGCAGAGCGGCGGACGCAGCAGCUGCAGCGUCAAGUGCGGGUCAAAGAAGAAAGCAUAGUUGAACUGGAAACGGAAAAUGCAGUUCUUCAUCUGAAAUUGGCAGAGUACCAAGGACGGGUCGGGAAGAGCGGCCUCCAGGCCACGCAGUUUCCUGCUCAGCUCAGCAGCAGGCAGCGCGGGCAGGGAGGUGCACACCCAGCGCUGGCCCAGCCCUGGAACCUGGCUCAGACACAGGCUCUAAAGUCACAUGAGCUGCUUUCACAACACCGGUCCCAGCCUGUGGAAUCCGGAUGUGGCGGUGAGGAGACCCAGAGGCUUCAGCAAGACGUGAAGGAGUUGCGCUCUUCCUUUCUGGAGCUGAUGGGCACCUGUCAGGACCAGUACCGGGCCCACCUCUCUGCAGUAGCGGCCGUGGUACAAGGAGCGCAGCUGGACAGGGAGGCUAUGCAAGCCUGGCGGUCAAAGGCGCUUCAUCUGGAGCGGUCCCUGCAGGAGGUGGAGGAGCACUGCCACCAGGAGAGGCAGAGAAGGCGGGCCCUCCACAACAGCCUGCUGGAGCUGAGAGGAAGCAUCCGAGUGCACUGUCGGAUCCGACCCCUGCUGCCCUUCGACAGUGAGUGGGACGGCUCGGCUUCAUGCAGCAGCACCGUCUCGCAAGGAGCGGCCCACGCCCUGGACGAUGAAACUAUUCUGGUGAAAUGCCAUCGUCCUGGCCACCCUAAGAUCAACAAGACAUAUACCUUUGAAAGGGUCUACGGUCCAGCAGAGUCUCAGACCGCCGUGUUUGCCGAUGUGCGCCCCCUGCUGACGUCCUUCCUGGACGGGUACGACGUGUGCGUCAUGGCCUACGGGCAGACCGGGAGCGGGAAGAGCUACACCAUGUUGGGGCCGCCCUCCGAGGGCCAGCCUGGGCAGCAAUCAGGGACGCACGGUGACUCGGGCAUUGUCCCCAGGGCCGCCGAGGAGCUCUUCAGGCUCAUCUCCGAAAACUCGCCAGGAAGGCCCACGCUCGAGGUUUCUGUCCUGGAGAUCUACAACAAUGACAUUUUUGAUCUCCUGGCCAAAGAGGACUCUGCAGCAGUGUUUGGGGUCAAGCGUGAGGUGGUGACAACCCAGGAAGGACGGACGGAGGUCCCCCUGCUGACCUGCACGGCCGUCGCCAGUGCCGUGGAGCUGGUAGCCCUUGUCCACGGAGGUCUGCGGCUCAGGGCCCGGCACCCCACCUUGGUGCAUGCAGCUUCCUCCAGAUCUCACCUGGUGGUGACGGUGACUCUGACCGGGAAAGCCCCCUCAGACAGCACCGGCCAGAGGCCCCGUUCGGCCCUCCGGCAGGGGCAUGCUGGGGCAGGUCAGGGGCGCAGCGCCUCUCCCCGGGCUUCGCCUCCCCAGCCCCUUCCUGUGGACCACACAGGCCCAGAGAGGCAAGCACGGGCCAAGCUGCAGCUGGUGGACCUGGCUGGCAGCGAGUGCGCAGGUGCAUCUGGGGUGACGGGCCUGGCGCUAAGGGAGACCUCAUUCAUCAACCGGAGCCUGGCAGCCCUGGCAGACGUCCUGGGGGCCUUGUCGGAGCGCCGUGGCCACGUGCCCUAUCGGAACAGCAAGCUCACCCACCUGCUCCAGGACACCAUCGGGAAUAAAAGUGUUUGGAUUCCAUGAGCCUGUUGUACCCCAGGGACCUGGGGCUGGAUGGACAGGAGAUCCCCACACAGCUCAGGCCAGCUCACCCAGUCCAGGAGGCUGAGGGAGGAGGAAGGCUCCUCCAGGGAGCCUCCUGCUGGAACCAGUGGGGCAGCAGGUGUGCAGGCUUGGACAGGCCUGACCGCAGGCCUGGUGCAAGGUCGAGGUGGAAUCCAGGUCGGUGCAGACCCUGUUCAACACUGGAUGUGGAGUGUGGAGGUUCUCAACAGGGGCUCAGGACUCUGGAGAGGUGCCUGUAGGUCCAGAGAGCCACCAGCAGCGACGGGCAGCACGUGGAGCUGUCCCCAGCUCGCCCCGACUCCCAGCAGCACCCAGCUCCAAAGGAUCCCUGAGCGUCUCCGGAGGCAAGGAGCCCAGCUCUGGGUGGCAGUGGAGUGCACCCCUCCAGAAGACGGCCUGCGCUGGUGACCAGCAUCGAGUGGCCAGAGGCUGCAACCUUGGGCUCUGACCUUGUGUGGGCAGGCAGGGUCCCACGCGACCCCCAGGAGCUCCCGUGUGGAGGGCUGGAGCAGCACCCCGCUCUCUUCAAACCUGGAAGAGGUCUGAGGUCCCUGGUUUUAAAGGUGUUUCACACUGAUUUGUUGGAAGGAAAUCAUUCAGCAGAAGUCUAGGAAGCUCUUCGAGGCUGUGUUGGGAGACCAGACCCUUAGGAAGCUCUUCGAGGCUGCGUUGGGAGACCAGACCCUCUAGGAAGGCAGAGGCUUCUUGGCCACCAGAGUGACAGGCUGUGGGUGUCGGGGCGUAGAGGGGCCCAGUGCCUCUGGUCUGGGGAGGCUCCCCGAGGACCUGGCUCUGAGCAGAGCCCCGGAGGCAGGCAGCAACCGCGGCGAGGACGCGGGACUGAGUGUGGGUGCUGAGCUGUGCCCUCAAGGUCCCCCAUUCCGUCUCACGCCCACACCUGUGAAGGACAAUUCCCCACUGUCAGAGUGUGUGGGGCUGCUGACCUGAGGGCCAGAGGGUCACGGCGAGCAGGGGGAGGGCCUGGACCAGAACCGGCUUGGCCAGGGCCCUGAGCCUGGACGUGCAGCCCCAGUGUGGUGUGUGGAAGGAGCCAUGCAGAGGCUGCACGCAGGUGCUCCUCCACAGGCCAGCGCCGUGGGUCAUCGCUCAGGAAAGCCACGUACAAGGAGAGGCAGCAGCAUGUGGCCACCGACCUCCAGGGCCCUGGCUCCAGGCCAGGGGCAUUGCUUCAUGGACCUGUCACCACCACGGGGACUGGUCUGGUCUUCCUGUGGGCUUGACCCUCCAUUCACAGGCCGAGUGCUCUCCCUCUGGGCAGAGGACCCUGGCCUCCCACCCAUGUCAAGGGGUGUGGAGGGUCAGGCAGAGGAGGACCCCAGAGAAGCCACCAGUCUGAGGCCUUCCAUCCUCCAGCUGGAGGACUGUGAGCGGAGAGGGGGGCACCGGACACACGUCCCUGGGAGUCAGCUCUGCGACCAGAGGCUCCGACAUGCGCAGCCCCAGCUGGAGCCUGACUCGGAGGCCUGAGACCAUCAGACGGUCACGGGGAGCUCCCUCCCAGGAGGGGAGAAUUAAGGCUGAGCAUUCUGAAGUAGGUAAGCACAGGAAGAUUUUAGAAUCCUCAAAUCACAACUU